rnacentral:rRNA from 1 species
GACGAACGCUGGCGGCGUGCUUAACACAUGCAAGUCGAGCGAGUGGAUUCCCUUCGGGGAUGAAGCUAGCGGCGGACGGGUGAGUAACACGUGGGCAACCUGCCUUAUAGAGGGGGAUAGCCUUCCGAAAGGAAGAUUAAUACCGCAUAACAUCAGAUUAUCGCAUGGUAGACUGAUCAAAGGAGCAAUCCGCUAUAAGAUGGGCCCGCGUCGCAUUAGCUAGUUGGUGAGGUAACGACUCACCAAGGCGACGAUGCGUAGCCGACCUGAGGGGGUGAUCGGCCACAUGGGGACUGAGACACGGCCCAGACUCCUACGGGAGGCAGCAGUGGGGAAUAUUGCACAAUGGGGGAAACCCUGAUGCAGCAACGCCGCGUGAGUGAUGAAGGCCUUCGGGUUGUAAAGCUCUUUGAUCAGGGACGAUAAUGACGGUACCUGAAGAACAAGCCACGGCUAACUACGUGCCAGCAGCCGCCGCAGUAA